CAUCCUUGUGCCCUGCAGCAGAACCUUGUCCCCUGAGCUCUGCAGCUCCACAUCCCAGCCCAUUGCAACGUGUCCCACCUGCUCUCCUCAAGGCUCUGCCUGCAUGCAGGCCCAGUUGUUUUCCUGCUUGUAAGGAAGGAGUAGGAAAGCCUGAGCAGAUUUCCUGAACAACAAACCCCACUCAGGAACCACCUGCUCAGUACAGGCUGCCUGGAAUGAUGUCACCUUUCUACAUGGGACAGUGUGGCCAGAAAUGAUCUCUGGAAGCAGAAUUCUCAGAGUCUUUCAGCUGAAUUCUCUGUCCCUGUCAUUUCCCUGGAUCUCUGCUGCAGAUGGAAGCUGCUGGUGCCAUUCUUACCUUUAACCUCUCUUUUGAAUCCAAACAGAUGUUCCCAGGUGUGUUAAGCAGGUGUUGCUCAAUGUUUAUGCAAAGGUUUUCGGUUCCUCAUGCAGCCAAGGAGACCCUUGUGACACAGCGAGGGCUCAUGGAACCAGUGGUCCAUUGUGACACUGCCCAUUCAAGGAGACCAUGGUGACACCAUGGAACCUCAUGGAACAGAGGAUCCAUGGUGACAGAGUGGAGCCCUGUGGAACCAAGGAGCCUUUGUGAUACUCCAGAUCCUCAUGGAACCCAGGGUGCAUUGAGGCACAGCCAGUCCUUGUUGGAAGCAAAGAAACUUCUGUAAAAAGCAGGGUAACACACACAAAACCAAGGAGUCGAGUCCAUUGUUACAGGAUAAAACCUAUGGAACCAGGGAUCCAUUGUGACAAAGUGGGGCCUCAUGGAAACAAGGGGCCACUGUGACAUAGUGGGACCACACGGAACAAAUUGUGCAUUAUGACAAUGUAGAUCCAAGGAGACCAUGGUGACACUAUAGAAUCCAUGAAUCCAAGGGGCCAUUGUGACACUGAAGAACUUCAUGAAACCCAGGAUCCACUGUGACACAGCAGAGCCUCAUCGGAACAAAGGAACCAUUGUUGACAGUACAGAAACUCAUGGAACCAAGGGGCCAUGGUGACACAGCAGGGCCACAUGGAACCAAGGAGACCAGUGAUGUUUAGGAACCUCAAGGAACCGAGGGUCCAUUAUGACACUGCAGAAACAAUGAGGCAAUUGCUGACAGUAUGGAAAUUCAUGGAACCAAGCAGCCAUUGUGACACUGCAAGGUGUCAUUGAACCAGAGAGACCAUGGUGACACUAGAGAACCUCAUGGCACUAAGGGUUUAUUGUGACACAGCAGGGGCCCAUGGAACCAAUUGUCCAUUGUGACAAUGCAGCUCUGAGGAGACCAUGGUGACACUGUGGUAGCUCAUGGAGCCACAGGUCCAUUGUGACAAAGGAAGGCCUCGUGGAACCAAGGAGACUAUGGUGACAUCGUGGAAACUCAGGGAACCAAGGAGAUCAUGGUGACAGUACAGAACCUCUAGGACCAAGAUUCCAUUGUUAUACAAAGGGGCUUCAUGGAAGCAAGGAACCAUUGUGACACGGCAGGGCCACAUGGAACCAUUGGACCAUAGUGAUUCAUCAGAUCCAUGGAGACCAUGGUGAUGCUGUGGAACCUCAUGGAACCAAAGGGCCAUUGUGACACUGUGGGACCUCACUGGAACAAAGGACAUGGUUGAUAGGACAGAAGCUCCUGGAAACUAUGGGACUUUUUGGCACUGCAGAGCCUCAUGGAACCAAGGAGACCACUGGGACACUGAGGAACCUUAUGGAACCAAGCAGCCAUUUUCACACUAUGGAAUAAGGAAAUAAUUGUUGACAGUACAAAACCUGAUAUCCAAGAGACCAGGAUGACGCUAUGGCAGUUCAUGGAAUCAAGGGGCUGUUGUGACACAAAGCCUCGUGGAACCAAGGACAGCAUUGUGGCAGUGCAGAACCAAGAAGGACAUUUUGACAGUAGAGAACCCAGUGGAACCAAGGGUCCAUUCUUGUACAGCAGGGCCUGAUGAAACCAAGGGGCCAUCGUGAAACUGUGGGGCAUAAUGGAGUCAAGGACACCACUGAUAAUGAAAUCCACAGGACAGAAACUUUUGAACACAGUUUUGAAUAUUUGAAAGCAGGUAUUCUUUAUUGCAGCAUGGUGGUCACUUGGGCCAUCCUUCCUCCAUUCAAGCCUACUUAGCAUCAAAUGAACAGAGUUUUUAUCACA